AGAGUUUGAAUCAUGGCUCAGGGCGAACGCUGGCGGCGUGCCUAAGGUAUGCAAGUCGAACGCCAGACCUUCGGGUCGGCGUGGCGGACGGGUGAGUAACACGUGGGAACGUGCCCCUGACUCGGGGAUAACCCGGAGAAAUCCGGGCUAAUAUCCGAUGGUCUCCGAUUUAUCGGAGUAAAGUUUUUCGGUCAGGGAUCGGCCCGCGUCCUAUCAGCUAGUUGGUAGGGUAAUGGCCUACCAAGGCAAUAACGGGUAGGGGGUGUGGGAGCAUGACCCCCCACAAUGGCACUGAGAAAAGGGCCAUACUCCUACGGGAGGCAGCAAUCAGGAAUCUUGCACAAUGCCCGAAAGGGUGAUGCAGCGACGCCGCGUGGAGGAAGAAGGCCUUCGGGUUGUAAACUCCUGUUAAGAAGCCACGGCAAACUACGUGCCAGCAGCAGCGGUCAUACGUAGGUGGCAAGCGUUGCCCAGUAUUAUUGGGCGUAAAGAGUGCGUAGGCGCCCUGUUAAGUUCUUAGUGAAAGCCCUCCGCUCAACGGAGGAAAGACUAGGAAUACUGAUAGGGUAGAGAUAAGCAGAGGAAAGUGGAAUCUCGGGAGGAGGGGUGAAAUCCAAUGAUCUCCGAGAGAACACCGAAGGCGAAGGCAGCUUUCUGGGCUUAUUCUGACGCUGAGGCACGAAAGCGUGGGUAGCGAAAGGGAUUAGAUACCCCUGCAGUCCACGCCCUAAACGAUGCUCGCUAAACAUUGGUGCCCCGAUUUUAUCGGAGUCAGUGUUGUAGCUAACGCGUUAAGCGAGCCGCCUGGGAAUUACGGUCGCAAGACUGAAACUCAA
rnacentral:rRNA from 1 species